rnacentral:snRNA from 1 species
AGAUGUGAGGGUGAUCUGUCACCCCAUUGAUCUCCAGGAUUGAUUUGGCUGAUCUGGCUGGCUAGGCAGGUAUCCCCUUCCUCACCACUCCAUGAAACUACUUAUGACAGAUUUAUUUCUGAAAGUUAAAUAGUUUUUUCUUUU